AGAAUCAACGCUGGCGGCGUGCCUCAGACAUGCAAGUCGAACGCGAAAGUUUCCUUCGGGAGACAAGUGGAGUGGCGCACGGGUGAGUAACACGUAGGUAAUCUACCUUCGGAUGGGGAAUAACAGUCGGAAACGGCUGCUAAUACCGCAUAAUGCAGCGGCACCUAAUGGUGACAGUUGUUAAAGCGGGGGAUCGAAAGACCUCGCGUCUGAAGAGGAGCCUGCGGCGGAUUAGCUAGUUGGUAAGGUAAUGGCUUACCAAGGCUACGAUCC
rnacentral:rRNA from 1 species